UGGGGAAUAUUGCACAAUGGGCGGAAGCCUGAUGCAGCGACGCCGCGUGGGGGAUGAAGGCCUUCGGGUUGUAAACUCCUUUCGACAGGGACGAAGCUUUUGUGACGGUACCUGUAUAAGAAGCACCGGCUAACUACGUGCCAGCAGCCGCGGUAAUACGUAGGGUGCGAGCGUUGUCCGGAAUUACUGGGCGUAAAGAGCUCGUAGGUGGUUUGUCGCGUCGUCUGUGAAAUUCCGGGGCUUAACUCCGGGCGUGCAGGCGAUACGGGCUGACUUGAGCGCUGUAGGGGAGACUGGAAUUCCUGGUGUAGCGGUGAAAUGCGCAGAUAUCAGGAGGAACACCGAUGGCGAAGGCAGGUCUCUGGGCAGUAACUGACGCUGAGGAGCGAAAGCAUGGGUAGCGAACAGGAUUAGAUACCCUGGUAGUCCAUGCCGUAAACGGUGGGCGCUAGGUGUAGGGGGCUUCCACGUCUUCUGUGCCGUAGCUAACGCAUUAAGCGCCCCGCCUGGGGAGUACGGCCGCAAGGCUA
rnacentral:rRNA from 1 species